UACGUAGGUGGCAAGCGUUAUCCGGAAUUAUUGGGCGUAAAGCGCGCGCAGGUGGUUUCUUAAGUCUGAUGUGAAAGCCCACGGCUCAACCGUGGAGGGCCAUUGGAAACUGGGGAACUUGAGUGCAGAAGAGGAUAGUGGAAUUCCAAGUGUAGCGGUGAAAUGCGUAGAGAUUUGGAGGAACACCAGUGGCGAAGGCGACUAUCUGGUCUGCAACUGACAAUGAGGCGCGAAAGCGUGGGGAGCAAACAGG
rnacentral:rRNA from 1 species